rnacentral:tRNA from 1 species
GAGGGUAUAGGUCAGUGACAGAGUGCGUACUUCACAUGCACAGGGUCCUGGGUUCAAUCCCCAGCACCUUCA